GGAUCGAUGGUGUAGUUGGUUAUCACGUUCGUCUCACAUGCGCGCACGCGUCUUUCGUUUGCACGAGAGGUCUCCAGUUCGAACCUGGAUCGAUCCA